rnacentral:rRNA from 1 species
GUGGCUUCCGGAGCUAACGCGUUAAAUCGACCGCUGGGGAGUACGGCCGCAAGGUUAAAACUCAAAUGAAUUGACGGGGGCCCGCACAAGCGGUGGAGCAUGUGGUUUAAUUCGAUGCAACGCGAAGAACCUUACCUACUCUUGACAUCCAGAGAAUUUAGCAGAGAUGCUUUAGUGCCUUCGGGAACUCUGAGACAGGUGCUGCAUGGCUGUCGUCAGCUCGUGUUGUGAAAUGUUGGGUUAAGUCCCGCAACGAGCGCAACCCUUAUCCUUUGUUGCCAGCACAUUAUGGUGGGAACUCAAAGGAGACUGCCGGUGAUAAACCGGAGGAAGGUGGGGAUGACGUCAAGUCAUCAUGGCCCUUACGAGUAGGGCUACACACGUGCUACAAUGGCGUAUACAAAGAGAAGCGACCUCGCGAGAGCAAGCGGAACUCAUAAAGUACGUCGUAGUCCGGAUUGGAGUCUGCAACUCGACUCCAUGAAGUCGGAAUCGCUAGUAAUCGUAGAUCAGAAUGCUACGGUGAAUACGUUCCCGGGCCUUGUACACACCGCCCGUCACACCAUGGGAGUGGGUUGCAAAAGAAGUAGGUAGCUUAACCUUCGGGAGGGCGCUUACCACUUUGUGAUUCAUGACUGGGGUGAAGUCGUAACAAGGUAACCA